GACGAACGCUGGCGGCGUGCUUAACACAUGCAAGUCGAACGGAAAGGCCCUGCUUUUGUGGGGUGCUCGAGUGGCGAACGGGUGAGUAACACGUGAGUAACCUGCCCUUGACUUUGGGAUAACUUCAGGAAACUGGGGCUAAUACCGGAUAGGAGCUCCUGCUGCAUGGUGGGGGUUGGAAAGUUUCGGCGGUUGGGGAUGGACUCGCGGCUUAUCAGCUUGUUGGUGGGGUAGUGGCUUACCAAGGCUUUGACGGGUAGCCGGCUGAGAGGGUGACCGGCCACAUUGGGACUGAGAUACGGCCCAGACUCCUACGGGAGGCAGCAGUGGGGAAUAUUGCACAAUGGGCGGAAGCCUGAUGCAGCAACGCCGCGUGCGGGAUGACGGCCUUCGGGUUGUAAACCGCUUUCGCCUGUGACGAAGCGUGAGUGACGGUAAUGGGGAAAGAAGCACCGGCUAACUACGU
rnacentral:rRNA from 1 species